rnacentral:rRNA from 1 species
UACGGGGGGGGCAAGCGUUGUUCGGAAUUACUGGGCGUAAAGGGCACGUAGGCGGCUCGCUAAGUCGGGUGUGAAAACUCUGGGCUCAACCCAGAGCCUGCACUCGAAACUGACGAGCUAGAGUUCUGGAGGGGAAAGCGGAAUUCCUGGUGUAGCGGUGAAAUGCGUAGAUAUCAGGAGGAACACCGGUGGCGAAGGCGGCUUUCUGGACAGAAACUGACGCUGAGGCGCGAAAGCUAGGGGAGCAAACAGG